rnacentral:rRNA from 1 species
AGUGAACGCUGGCGGUAGGCCUAACACAUGCAAGUCGAACGGCAGCACAGUAAGAGCUUGCUCUUACGGGUGGCGAGUGGCGGACGGGUGAGGAAUACAUCGGAAUCUACUUUUUCGUGGGGGAUAACGUAGGGAAACUUACGCUAAUACCGCAUACGACCUACGGGUGAAAGCAGGGGAUCUUCGGACCUUGCGCGAUUGAAUGAGCCGAUGUCGGAUUAGCUAGUUGGCGGGGUAAAGGCCCACCAAGGCGACGAUCCGUAGCUGGUCUGAGAGGAUGAUCGGCCACACUGGAGCUGGGACACGGUCCAGACUCCUACGGGAGGCAGCAAUGGGGAAUAUUGGACAAUGGGCGCAAGCCUGAUCCAGCCAUACCGCGUGGGUGAAAGAGGCCUUCGGGUUGUGAAGCCCUUUUGUUGGGAAAGAAAAGCAGCAGGUUAAUACCCCGCUGUUCUGACGGUACCCAAAGAAUAAGCACCGGCUAACUUCGUG